rnacentral:misc_RNA from 1 species
UUUCCGUAGGUGAACCUGCGGAAGGAUCAUUACUGAGUGAGGGCCCCUCGGGGUCCAACCUCCCGCCCGUGUUUAACGAACCUUGUUGCUUCGGCGGGCCCGCCUCACGGCCGCCGGGGGGGCAUCUGCCCCCGGGCCCGCGCCCGCCGAAGCCACCUGUGAACGCUGUCUGAAGUAUGCAGUCUGAGACAAUUAUUAAAUUAAUUAAAACUUUCAACAACGGAUCUCUUGGUUCCG